AGUGAACGCUGGCGGUAGGCCUAACACAUGCAAGUCGAACGGCAGCACAGUAAGAGCUUGCUCUUACGGGUGGCGAGUGGCGGACGGGUGAGGAAUACAUCGGAAUCUACUUUUUCGUGGGGGAUAACGUAGGGAAACUUACGCUAAUACCGCAUACGACCUACGGGUGAAAGCAGGGGAUCUUCGGACCUUGCGCGAUUGAAUGAGCCGAUGUCGGAUUAGCUAGUUGGCGGGGUAAAGGCCCACCAAGGCGACGAUCCGUAGCUGGUCUGAGAGGAGGAUCAGCCACACUGGAACUGAGACACGGUCCAGACUCCUACGGGAGGCAGCAGUGGGGAAUAUUGGACAGUGGGCGCAAGCCUGAUCCAGCCAUACCGCGUGGGUGAAGAAGGCCUUCGGGUUGUAAAGCCCUUUUGUUGGGAAAGAAAAGCAGCAGGUUAAUACCCCGCUGUUCUGACGGUACCCAAAGAAUAAGCACCGGCUAACUUCGUG
rnacentral:rRNA from 1 species